GACGGAGGAUGCAAGCGUUAUCCGGAAUUAUUGGGAGUAAAGGGUGCGUAGGUGGUCAGACAAGUCCAAUGUCAAAGCAUGGUGCUUAACGCCAUAAAGGCGUGGGAAACUGUGAGACUAGAGUACAGCAGGGGCAGGAGGAAUUCCCGGUGUAGCGGUGAAAUGCGUAGAUAUCGGGAAGAACACCAGUGGCGCAAGCGUUCUGCUGGGCUGUAACUGACACUGAGGCACGAAAGCUCGGGGAGCGAAAGGG
rnacentral:rRNA from 1 species